rnacentral:lncRNA from 1 species
CUGGCCGCCUCAGCCCUCCCCAGCGUGGGUCCCGCGGACUCUGGCUGCCCGCCCCCCCCCCCCAGAGGCCGGUGGGCUGUGCGUUCCCCAGGCGUUCCCAGGCCAGCUGCUGGCUCCGCUUCCCGCUUAGAGCCACCCUGGCCACGCGGACGCGGCCACCCAGGGUUCGCCGCGGGCCGGCGGCGGGGGCCAGCAGGAGGCAGCGGGGGCAGGCAGAGGGCAGGAGCGGGGCACGCGGGACGGACGGACGGACGGACGCUGCCACAGGACUCAGGAUCACCGGCAUCUUCCCGCCUUCGGGCCGUCCCGGCCCCUCCCGGGCGGGGCCAAUUCCCACAGUGGGCUUGGGUAGGAAGGAGCCGGCCGGGCUGCCCCGCCGAGAGGCGCAGCCCCCGCCCGCCCUAUCCCCUCGAGCUCCGCCCUGCUCUCGACUCUCCGGACUUGGACAUGGCUGGAGAGCCCGGGCCGGGCCCUGCGCACCCGGGCCUCAAGCGGCCUCAGGGCACUGCCAGCCCCUGUACGAGUGAUUAUGACCUGGACCAUAAGCUGUACAGGGAAAAUGUCCCCUACAGGGUGUAUGAAUACCAAAGGAUCCCUCCACUCAUCAACCGCGUGCCUGUCAGGAUCCGGAGGACCCAGGUGGGCAUGGGGGUCAAAAGCAGCUUCCGUCUUCACACGGGCCCCAGGAAGAGCCACCUGCCCCGGGAGCAAAUAAAGCGUGAGUGAGGGGGCACAGCCCUCAGCAGGGCUGGGGAAGAGCUGGGCAGACCUUAGCGGUGAGGGCUGGUGGGAGCCCUGGCAGCAGCGCCGUCUGCGCCUGGUGGGACACCAGCUCUGGCCCCUCUCCAAACAGUCCCGACUGAGGAGCUGCACUCCAUCAGGGGGGAGCUGAGUCAGAUCAAAGCCCAAGUGGACCGUCUAUUGGAGAAUCUGGAGCACAUGGGCCAGCAGAGGGACCAGCUUCCAACUGGGGGCCCGGGACACACUCCCAGUAAGUUCCAGCUUUUCCCACUGCAGAGGGUGGCACCUGGGGUCCUGCCCUGGGCUGUCUGCAGGGCUCCUUCCUGCCCUCCCAGGGUGUACUCUCUCCCACUCCCUCUGCUUGUUCCCGUGGCUUGAAGACCUCAUGGCUUCUGGGUUGUUCUAUGAGCCCACCCACUCAGCAGCUACCUAGAGGCAGAGCUGUGUCCCAGCCCAUGCCCAUCUUGUCCUUUUAAGCCCUAGGAACCGUUGAUCAGUGCUGGGCACCAAGUGGCCUCUCUCAGAUCAGCUGGGGCCUCCAAACCUGGCCUUUAACUGUGACUCUCCCCACACAGGGUCAGAGGACAGUGAAGAAAACAGAGGUCCAGAACUCCAGCAGGAGCCCCAGGGCCAGAAGGCCCAUCCAGAAGCAGACAGCUCUGAGGACAGCACAGACCCAAAGGAGGCAGUGAGUGGCCUGGCACCUCCCCCAUCCUCACCCUCCUUGCGUUUGGGUCCUUGUGGCUUCCCUGUGAACAAGGGAGAGACUCAGGUUUGUGCAGGAGCCCACAGUGGUGGCUGAGGGGACACAGGACUUCUGCCACAUGCAAUUCCCAGAAGAUGGCCCUGCACUGCUUUUUAUUCCCUCUCAUCUCGGGCUUGACGGCUCAGCUGGACUAGGGGCUAGUUCUGGGCUGAAAUACAAUCAUGUCCUGGAAGCUGGGAGGCGGGCUUUGAGCACUGCAGAAUGUCACAGGUGUGCCUCAUGGUCCCAGACCCCUUGCCAGAGGCCCCAGAAUCGGUUAAAACUGGCCUUUUUCCUGGCCCUGCUCCCACACAUUGUGGUGUACCAUGCUCCCCAGGGAAGCUGGAGCUCAUGGACCUUCCUGGACGGAAAACAUCCAAACCAGGAUGUGAUGGUCUGAUGAUAGCCCUUUGGGUAGCAUUCAAGGGCCCCAGUGUUCCCUGCCCUACCACAUUCUCCUCCCUUCUUGAUAAUCCGUGAGGUGGGCCAAGCCCCAUGUGUUUGGGCCACCUCUGCAAGGUCCAGGAUGCUGAGGGGCUGGCAGGAACAAGCUUCCCUUCCUCCACCUGUCUGGCUCCGCCCCCUGGACUGCUGGGCUCCGCAAAGUCCUUACUGCUGUCCAGGCCUGAGUCACAUCUGGGAAAAUAUUGGGCUGGAUGAAGGGACUGCUUUGGUGGUUCUGGGUUCCCAGGCCUCAGGAAGAAUCUAGAGUAGCACUGAGCGGGCAAACCUGCCGAGAAAGAGACACGGGGUUGAGGGGAGAUGUUGGCAGACAGGCUUCCCUUUCCUAGCCAUGCCAUGCCUCUCGGCCCUCCUGGCCAGAGUCCUGUUUCUCUAUUUCCUACAGGUGAAGAAUCCUGCAUCGGACCAGGAGGGCAGCCAGUAGAAUGGUGGAACCCCUCUGGGCUCCUUCCUGGAUGGCUCCCUUCCUUGCCUCGUGUGGGUUUUUGAAGGCCUCCUGGAGGUGCCUGUGCAGCCCGAAGCCACCCUUCUGGAAGGAGUGCAGUGAAGUGGGGGCCUGGCUCAGCCAAACUAGCCAUGAAGCUUCUCCGUAAUGGUGGCUUUUGGAGGUCACGUUUUCCGAUGAUACGGGCUGAGGGUGGCCUGCAGCUGCCUAGCAUAAGCCUCCCAUCCUCAUGAAGCUGAGGCCGUCUUGCAAGGGGCCCCAGGUCCCCCUGGGUACACAUCAGCCCCCAGUGACCACAGGUACCGUAGUGGCUGCUCCCCACUCCGAAGGGCCCUGCCAGUUCUGAGUAGGCAGCCAGCACAGUUCCCUCCAGCCACAGUGGCAUACCGGAAACCCUCAUGUUCCUACGGUCCCCCUUCCAGUCUGCACCUGGGCUUUCAGCUCCUCAGUGUGCCCCACAUAAUCCCCUUUGGUUCCAGACUCCCCAUCCACCCUGUAAAGCCAUCCUUCAGAAUAGGGACAUCAUUUUUAUGUUCUGCUCCUGUCUAGUCUCUUGCUAGUGUGAUACUAUGUGUUUCAGAUCUGCUCUGGAAAUAGUAUUGUAUCAAAAGGGAGAAAAUGGGGAUCCCUGGGUGGCGCAGCGGUUUGGCGCCUGCCUUUGGCCCAGGGCGCGAUCCCGGAGACCCGGGAUCGAAUCCCACAUCGGGUUCCCGGUGCAUGGAGCCUGCUUCUCCCUCUGCCUGUGUCUCUGCCUCUCUCUCUCUCUCUGUGACUAUCAUAAAUAAAUAAAAAUUAAAAAAAAAAAAAAAAAAAAAAAAAAAACAAAAGGGAGAAAAUGCACAACAUUUUCCCCCCUUUUGGGGGUCAGGGGUUCUUGGUAGGGUCAUCAAGCCUCAUUCUGGUCUUUGGGCUGCCUCAGGCCAGGCCUUCCUGGAGAAGCUGAGCAGGCCCCUGCAUCACAGAAGUUCAGCAGUUCCUACUCAGCCAGGGCACAGAAGAGGGGACCAGGCUUCCCUGCCUUCUUCCAAUUCAGACCUGAGCACAAACCCACAGAGCUCAUGAGCCACAUAGGGAAGAUCCUGCUCUUGUGGUCACUCAGGCCAGUUCUCCAUAUGGAAUGAUGGCCAGGCCACAUCUGACUUCCCAACAACCAGCAGCUCUUACUCCUGGAAGUUCAUCUGCCCUUUCCCAGGAGGCAAGACUGGACCAGGGGCACCAAAUAAUAAAGCCAACCUGGUGCAGCACCUGGGCUCAGUCGGUUAGGCAUCAGAUUCUGAUUUUGGCUCAGGUCAUGAUCUCAGGAUCAUGAGAUCAAGCCCAGCAUCAGGCUCUGCGCUCAACAUGGAGUCUGUGUGGAAUUUUCUCUCUUCUUCCCCACUGUCAACCCCCUUGCAUGCCUCUAAAUUAAAAAAAAAAAAAAAAAAAAAAAAGGCAGCCUGGACCCCUACUUCUUAGCAGCAGUGGGGGAGGCCUCUAGCUUCCACCCAGAGCCAAACCCCUUCCACCUACCCAAACCUGAGCUGUGGUCUUGCCCAGCACCAAACCAGAGGCCACAGAGUACACCCAGAGUGCUCCUGGGCCCACACAACCUUCCCUACUGUUGUCACCUUGGCAAUGGCCAACUCUGCUACUCUAGGGGCACCUUCACCUCCUUCAAAGCACAUUUCCCCACACCAACUCCUGCACCUCCUUUAGUUUCAGCCAGUCUUUUCUGCUUAUGUUGGUCUAAGGAACAGGACACAUUUAAGACAAUGCUGUCCCCAACCCCUUGACACCAGGAGUCGACUACAGGGCACAAAAGAACCUUGUUCUUUUAAAUUCACUACCGAGAUGAACCACGAUAGACUUUUCCAGAUAUAGAGGAGUUUGUUUUAGCUCAGAUAUAAAUGAGAAGGCACAGCCCCCUUGUCCAUUCUCUCAAAAGCAGCCCAAGUCUAUAGAAGGGAGUCACUAGCUGGCCUGCACAGGGUCCAUCCCUUACAACAGUUCCAAGUCCCGUCCUCCAGAUGAGUCCAGCUGAAGUCCUUCCCAACCUGGGAGGCAAGCUGCAUUCGCAAGUUUCUUCACCUGGGUCGUAGCUGGGAAGCACCUGCUC